rnacentral:rRNA from 1 species
AUUGAACGCUGGCGGCAGGCCUAACACAUGCAAGUCGAGCGGAGCGGCGGACGGGUGAGUAAUGCCUAGGAAUCUGCCUGGUAGUGGGGGAUAACGUCCGGAAACGGGCGCUAAUACCGCAUACUAUCAGAUGAGCCUAGGUCGGAUUAGCUCGUUGGUGGGGUAAAGGCCUACCAAGGCGACGAUCCGUAGCUGGUCUGAGAGGAUGAUAAGUCAAACGGGAACGGAGAAACGGUCCAGACUCCUAAAGGAGGAAGGAGUGGGGAAUAUUGGACAAUGGGAGAAAGCCUGAUCCAGCCAUGCCGCGGGGGUGAAGAAGGACUUCGGAUUGUAAAGAACUUUAAGUUGGGAGGAGUUAACAACAGAAGAAGCACCGGCUAACUUCGUGCCAGCAGCCGCGGUAAUAC